AUUGAACGCUGGCGGCAGGCCUAACACAUGCAAGUCGAACGAGUGGCGGAUGGGUGAGUUAUGUCUGGGAAACUGCCCGCUGGAGGGGGAUAACUACUGGAAACGGUAGCUAAUACCGCAUACCAUCAGAUGCUCCCAGAUGGGAUUAGCUUGUUGGUGGGGUAACGGCUCACCAAGACGACGAUCCCUAGCUGGUCUGAGAGGAUGACCAGCAGCACGUGAGCUGAGACACGGUCCAGACUCCGAAGGGAGGCAGCAGUGGUGAAUAUUGCAGAAGGGGCGCAAGCCUGAUGCAGCCAUGCCGCGUGUAUGAAGAAGGCCUUCGGGUUGUAGAGUACGUUCAGCGGGGAGGCGUUACCCGCAGAAGAAGCACCGGCUAACUCCGUGCCAGCAGCCGCGGUAAUAC
rnacentral:rRNA from 1 species